GGAAGUCAUCCGGCUGGAUGAGGAGCUUGUCUUGAAAACAAGUGGCGAUCAAAAUCGUUUGUGGGUUCGAGUCCCACGGCUUCCGC
rnacentral:tRNA from 1 species